UUUUGUUGGAGAGUUUGAUCCUGGCUCAGGACGAACGCUGGCGGCGUGCUUAACACAUGCAAGUCG
rnacentral:rRNA from 1 species